rnacentral:antisense_RNA from 1 species
CGGUGCUUGAGGCCUUUUGUCUGGUCUCAUGCGAAUGCGACGGAGACAAAAAGCAGAAAGCCCCGAAGGUAAUUUUUCAAUCACCAACGAGGCCUACUGAUCGUCCGAACAACGUGACUGUAGCCUCUUACCCGUCGAAAGACAAGGAGUACGGCUAUG